rnacentral:rRNA from 1 species
UACGUAGGGGGCAAGCGUUGUCCGGAAUCAUUGGGCGUAAAGAGCGUGUAGGCGGCCCGAUAAGUCCGCCGUGAAAGUCCAGGGCUCAACCCUGGAAUGCCGGUGGAAACUGUCGGGCUGGAGUCCGGAAGAGGCGAGUGGAAUUCCUGGUGUAGCGGUGAAAUGCGCAGAUAUCAGGAGGAACACCAAUGGCGAAGGCGGCUUUCUGGGACGGUACUGACGCUGGAGACGCGAAAGCGUGGGGAGCAAACAGG